ensembl:lncRNA
CUCUCGCUCCGUCAACAUGACGACCUCUUUUCCCAUGAAUUAUUUCUCAUUGCGGUUCACUCCCACGGCCACGGAGCGUCUGACCCGCGCACGAGCGUGUGCUGUCGGGAGCGCGCAGCAAUCAUACCUCAUCCGUCGCGCGUCUCGGUGGUGUCGGAUAAAUAGGAGACGGUCGGUCUUUUGACUAAAAAAAACAACAACAACGACAACAACAACCCCACUCGGGCAUCGUGCUUCGUUGUGAGAAGAAGACAACCAUUUUUUUUUCUUCCGAAAGUCCUGCACGUUUUUCUCCCCUCGCCUGUGAGCGGAUGCCGGAGGAGUACAGCUGCGAGGCUUCCGGGCUCGUCCCUCAUCUCGCGGGUCAUUCCUCCAAGUUGACGCUGCUGACGCGGUUCGGUUCGGGGAUGUAAACGACCCUCCGAGGGACCCGAGCUGAGUGCACCGAUUCCACGGAAGCAUGAGCCCCGCGGGAGCCCGGAGCGUCUCGUGAAAGCUCUGGGGAUGAGUCGCUGGUCGGGCAAUAUACUCCGUGCGUCCCACCUGUCAACGGGGAGUUUAUGAAAGAGGUCCACUCCAGCUCCCACCGAUUCUACUGAGAGACGAGGGCUCGUAAGGGAACUGCCCCGGCUCUUUCAUCC